UACGAAGGGGGCUAGCGUUGCUCGGAAUCACUGGGCGUAAAGGGCGCGUAGGCGGCCAUUCAAGUCGGGGGUGAAAGCCUGUGGCUCAACCACAGAAUUGCCUUCGAUACUGUUUGGCUUGAGUAUGGUAGAGGUCAGUGGAACUGCGAGUGUGGAGGUGAAAUUCGUAGAUAUUCGCAAGAACACCAGUGGCGAAGGCGGCUGACUGGACCAUUACUGACGCUGAGGCGCGAAAGCGUGGGGAGCAAACAGG
rnacentral:rRNA from 1 species